GAGUUUGAUCCUGGCUCAGAUUGAACGCUGGCGGCAGGCCUAACACAUGCAAGUCGAGCGGCAGCGACUUAACUGAACCUUCGGGGAACGUUAAGGGCGGCGAGCGGCGGACGGGUGAGUAAUGCCUGGGAAUAUGCCCUGAUGUGGGGGAUAACUAUUGGAAACGAUAGCUAAUACCGCAUAAUCUCUUCGGAGCAAAGAGGGGGACCUUCGGGCCUCUCGCGUCAGGAUUAGCCCAGGUGGGAUUAGCUUUGUUGGGUGAGGUAAUGGCUCACCAAGGCGACGAUCCCUACCUGGUCUGAAAGGAUGAUCAGCCCACUGGAACUGAGACACGGUCCAACUCCUACGGGAGGCAGCAGUGGGGAAUAUUGCACAAUGGGGGAAACCCUGAUGCAGCCUGCCGCGUGUGUGAAGAAGGCCUUCGGGUUGUAAAAGCACUUUCAGUAGGGAGGAAGGUAGUGUAGUUAACACCUGCACUAUUUGACGUUACCUACAGAAGAAGCACCGGCUAACUCCGUGCAGCAGCCGCGGUAAUACCGGAGGGUGCGAGCGUUAAUCGAAAUUCUGGGCGUAAAGCCCAUGCAGGCGGCCUGUAAUUCAGAUGUGAAAGCCCGGGCCUAACCUCGNANUGCNUUGAAACUGGCAGGCUAGAGUCUUGUAGAGGGGGUAGAAUUUC
rnacentral:rRNA from 1 species